rnacentral:rRNA from 1 species
UACGAAGGGGGCUAGCGUUGUUCGGAUUUACUGGGCGUAAAGCGCACGUAGGCGGAUCGAUCAGUCAGGGGUGAAAUCCCAGGGCUCAACCCUGGAACUGCCCUUGAUACUGUCGAUCUGGAGUAUGGAAGAGGUGAGUGGAAUUCCGAGUGUAGAGGUGAAAUUCGUAGAUAUUCGGAGGAACACCAGUGGCGAAGGCGGCUCACUGGUCCAUUACUGACGCUGAGGUGCGAAAGCGUGGGGAGCAAACAGG